GGGCCCUUAGCUCAGCUGGUAGAGCGUCUGACUUUUAAUCAGCAUGUCGAAGGUUCGAUCCCUUCAGGGCCCACCA
rnacentral:tRNA from 1 species